rnacentral:RNase_P_RNA from 1 species
ACUACAGGCCGGGUUAUCGCUUUCCUGCAAAGGAAGGAGGAAAGUCCGGACAGCACAGAGCAAUGCACCGGUGAAGAGCCGGCUGACCUUCGGGUUAAGAGACAGUGCCACAGAAAAUGACCGCCGAUGCCGUAUUUAUAGCCAGGGCAAUUGCCUUUGCUGCAAGUACGGCAGGUAAGGAUGAAAAUGUGGGGUAAGAGCCCACGGCUUUUGGUGGUAACACCAAUCGCGGGUAAACCUUGCAUGCUGAAAUGCCACAUAUAGUACCCUUAAGGGCUGCUCGUCCGGGGACUGGCUGCAAAGCCGGGACAGGGUACAGGGUAGGCAGAUGGAUUCCGCCGGGUAACUGGCGGAACAGAUAAAUGAUAGCCAUAACCUGCCUUCGCUAAGGCUACGGCAGGUGACACAGAAUCCGGCUUACAGGCCUGUAGUUUUU